ACGUGCGGUUAUUACCCGUUGUCUUUUACAAUCGAAUUACACCGUAAGACGUAAUAUGACGUACUGCGCAUUUACAAUAUGACGGUUAUAAUCAAUUUAAACCGCGAAUUUCGGUAACGAUGAGUUUCUGGAUACGAUUGAAACGAUAUCCGUUAUCCUUGCGUUGUAACUAACGGGUAGGCUAUUUAAUUUCUCGGUACAAACUCGACAGU